rnacentral:tRNA from 1 species
GCGGGUGUAGUUUAAUGGUAAAACCUCAGCCUUCCAAGCUGAUGUGGUGAGUUCGAUUCUCAUCACCCGCUCCA